rnacentral:rRNA from 1 species
CCUACGGGGGGCAGCAGUGAGGAAUAUUGGUCAAUGGGCUUACGCCUGAACCAGCCAAGUCGCGUGAGGGAAGACUGCCCUAUGGGUUGUAAACCUCUUUUGUCAGGGAGCAACGCCGGCUACGUGUAGCCGGACUGAGAGUACCUGAAGAAAAAGCAUCGGCUAACUCCGUGCCAGCAGCCGCGGUAAUACGGAGGAUGCGAGCGUUAUCCGGAUUGAUUGGGUUUAACGGGUGCGUAGGCGGCAUGCCAAGUCAGCGGUAAAAUCGCGGGGCUCAACCUCGCUCCGCCGUUGAAACUGGCGUUCUUGAGUGGGCGAGAAGUAUGCGGAAUGCGUGGUGUAGCGGUGAAAUGCAUAGAUAUCACGCAGAACUCCGAUUGCGAAGGCAGCAUACCGGCGCCCAACUGACGCUGAAGCACGAAAGCGUGGGUAUCGAACAGGAUUAGAUACCCCGGUAGUC